rnacentral:tRNA from 1 species
AUUGCUAUAGCUCAAUUGGUAGAGCUUCUGACUAUGGAUCAGACUGUUACCGGUUCAAAUCCGGUUAGCG